rnacentral:ncRNA from 2 species
CUCUUAUCAAGAGAGGUGGAGGGACUGGCCCGAUGAAACCCGGCAACCGGUGCUUAUGCACAAUGGUGCCAAUUCCUGCAGAAUUUUAAUUCUGGCAGAUGAGAG